rnacentral:lncRNA from 1 species
UUUAAAUCAUGACUUUCGUAGUCACAAAGGGAUAGCUGAUGUUUAAAGCAAUAUGUGCUAUGGUAUGUUAAGUGCUAUGAAUAUGAGUCUAUGUUGGGUUAAUGAAGUAAGUUGUUAUAAAGAUAGCAGAUAUUUAUCUGAAUAUUGGUUAAUAUAGUAAACCAAGUUUCAAAAUUUAAUAUUUUGGAAUACAUGAUUAUUUGAGUAGUAAAUUUUGUGUUAUAUGUCGAACGUAUACGAUGAGGCUUAGAAUGUAAGGAAAUGAAGAAUAAUUUA